UUAAAUAUAUAGAUUCCUGGGCUCCAUGCUCAAUUUUUUUGAGCCUAAAUCUCCUUGGGUGGGGUCCAGGAAUCUACAUUUUAAA
rnacentral:miRNA from 1 species